rnacentral:rRNA from 1 species
GAGUUUGAUCCUGGCUCAAUUGAACGCUAGCGUUUUUCUUACCAUGCAAGUCGAACGGCGCACGGGGGGCGACCCCUGGUGGCGAGUGGCGAACGGUGAGUAAUGCAUCGGAACGUGCCCGGUAGUGGGGGAUAACCCCAGAAAUCGGGGCUAAUACCGCAUGAGCCCGGGAGGGGAAAGCGGCGGACCUGAUGAGGGCCUCGCGCUAUCGGAGCGGCCGAGUCCGAUUAGUGGUUGGUGGGGUAAAGGCCCACCAAGGCGACGAUCGGUAGCGGGUCUGAGAGGACGGCCCGCACACUGGGACUGAGACACGGCCAACUCCUACGGGAGGCUAGUGGGGAAUUUGGACAAUGGGCGAAAGCCUGAUCCAGCCAUGCCGCUUUGCGGCAAGAAGGCCUUCGGUUGUAAACCGCUUUCGGCCCGGGACGAAAUCCCCCAUGAACAGUGUGGGUUGGAUGACGGGCCUGGCAAAGAAACCGUAACUACGUUGCCCAGCCGCGGUAAUCAUACGGGUGCCGAGCGUUAAUCGGAAUUACUGGGCGUAAAGCCGUGCGGCAGGCCGGUCCUUUAAGUAGGUGUGAAAGCCCCCGGCUUACUGGAAUGGCGCUUGAAACUGAAGGCUUUGGAAUGCCGCAAACGGGGGCCGGAUCCUGGUCUAUCUGGAAUGCGUCAGAUCG